UGGGGAAUUUUGGACAAUGGGGGAAACCCUGAUCCAGCCAUGCCGCGUGCGGGAAGAAGGCCUUCGGGUUGUAAACCGCUUUUGGCAGGAACGAAACGGCGCGCGCCAAUACCGCGCGUUAAUGACGGUACCUGCAGAAUAAGCACCGGCUAACUACGUGCCAGCAGCCGCGGUAAUACGUAGGGUGCAAGCGUUAAUCGGAAUUACUGGGCGUAAAGCGUACGCAGGCGGCUAUGCAAGACAGGUGUGAAAUCCCCGGGCUCAACCUGGGAACUGCACUUGUGACUGCAUGGCUAGAGUCCGUAAGAGGGGGGUGGAAUUCCACGUGUAGCAGUGAAAUGCGUAGAGAUGUGGAGGAACACCGAUGGCGAAGGCAGCCCCCUGGGAUGAGACUGACGCUCAUGUACGAAAGCGUGGGGAGCAAACAGG
rnacentral:rRNA from 1 species